AGUUGAAACAAAAACCAUAAGAAACGACACCAGAAAUUCAUCAAGAUAGUCCAGAAUUGUUGAAGAACCAAAAAUGGAGAAAGAAGAAGAGAAAGCCUACAGAGCUCACUGUAUAGUAUUGCCCUAUCCAACCCAAGGCCACAUAAACCCCAUGCUUCAAUUCUCUAAACGCAUACAACACAAAGGGGUUAAGGUCACUCUUGUUAAUACACGUUUUAUUUCCAAUACCAUCACCCAUAAACCAUCAUCCAGUACUUCCAUUGCUCUUGAAACCAUAUCAGAUGGCUACGAUGAAGGUGGUAUAGAUCACGCAGAAAGCGUCCAGGUCUACCUAGAUACCUUCAGGAAGGUGGGUUCUCAAACUCUUUCCAAUCUUGUUGAGAAGCUAAAUGCCUCUGGCUUCCCUGUAGAUUGCAUUGUUUAUGAUGCUUUUAUGCCUUGGUGUCUUCAAGUUGCGAAGAAAUUUGGUUUGCUUUCUGCCGUUUUUUUCACUCAAUCUUGUGCUGUUGAUAUCAUAUACUAUCAUGUUUUUCGACGGCUGAUCAAACCUCCCGUUAAGGAGAAUGAAAUCUUAUUGGCUCCUGGAUUGCCUCCACUUGAAGUUCAAGAUCUGCCAUCUUUCAUUCAUCAUUAUGGAUCUUACCCUGCAGCUUUUGAAAUGCUUAUGAAUCAGUUCUCCAAUAUUGAUGAAGCCGAUUGGGUUCUCUGCAACACGUUUUAUGAGUUGGAACAAGAGGCUAGUAAAUCAAUCUUUAAUUUCCACUUUGAUUUGCAUAUUAUGGUGUAUAUAAAUCUAAAAUUUUUCUAUAAACAGGGGGCAGAUUGGCUGGCGAAGCUCUGGCCAUUGAAGACAAUUGGACCAACUAUGCCAUCCAUGUACUUAGACAAGCAAAUCCAAGAUGAUAAAGACUAUGGUUUCAGUAUCUUUAAGCCAAAUAAUGAAGCUUGCAUGAAUUGGCUUAAUCAUAAGCCAACAGGGUCAGUUGUAUAUGUGUCUUUCGGGAGCCUGGCAACUCUAGGAGCUGAGCAAAUGGAAGAGCUGUGUUGGGGUUUGAGAAGGAGUAAUUGUUACUUCUUGUGGGUAGUAAGAGAAUCUGAAGAGGCAAAACUCCCAGAAAACUUUGUACAAGAAACUUCGGAGAAGGGUUUGGUGGUGAGAUGGUGUCCACAGCUAGAGGUCUUAGCAGAUGAAGCAGUGGGAUGCUUUCUCACACAUUGUGGAUGGAACUCAACCUUGGAGGCAUUGAGUUUGGGAGUGCCAAUGGUGGCAAUGCCACAGUGGACAGACCAAAGCACCAACGCCAAGUAUAUUAUGGAUGUUUGGAAAAUGGGAAUUAGAGCUCCAAUGGGUGAGAAAGGGGUUGUUGGAAGAGAUGUGAUAAGGGAUUGCAUAAAAGAAGUAAUUGAGGGAGAGAGCAGGAAAGAGAUGCGAGAAAAUGCAGAGAAAUGGAGAAAUCUAGCCAAAGCAGCAGCAGAUGAAGGUGGAAGUUCCGAUAAGAACAUUCGUGAGUUCGUCGGAAAUCUGCUUCACGAUCGAUCCUAUGUUUCUCCUUGUACCAAUGGAGUAUAGUCACAUUUUGAGUACUUUAUAUUAUUUUAUUUUAAUUAAUAAAUGGAUGAUUUGAUGUGUGGACA
rnacentral:misc_RNA from 1 species